AGACCCGAAACCCGGUGAUCUAGCCAUGGGCAGGUUGAAGGUUGGGUAACACUAACUGGAGGACCGAACCGACUAAUGUUGAAAAAUUAGCGGAUGACCUGUGGCUGGGGGUGAAAGGCCAAUCAAACCGGGAGAUAGCUGGUUCUCCCCGAAAGCUAUUUAGGUAGCGCCUCGUGAAUUCAUCUCCGGGGGUAGAGCACUGUUUCGGCUAGGGGGCCAUCCCGGCUUACCAACCCGAUGCAAACUGCGAAUACCGGAGAAUGUUAUCACGGGAGACACACGGCGGGUGCUAACGUCCGUCGUGAAGAGGGAAACAACCCAGACCGCCAGCUAAGGUCCCAAAGUCAUGGUUAAGUGGGAAACGAUGUGGGAAGGCCCAGACAGCCAGGAUGUU
rnacentral:rRNA from 1 species